rnacentral:lncRNA from 1 species
CCGCCGCCCAUCGUCUGAGAUGUGGGGAGCGCCUCUGCCCCGCCGCCCUGUCUGGGAUGUGAGGAGCGCCUCUUCCCCGCCGCCCAUCGUCUGAGAUGUGGGGAGCGCCUCUGCCCCGCCGCCCUGUCUGGGAUGUGAGGAGCGCCUCUGCUGGGCCGCAACCCUGUCUGGGAGGUGAGGAGCGUCUCUGCCCGGCCGCCCCGUCUGAGAAGUGAGGAAACCCUCUGCCUGGCAACCGCCC